GUGCCGGUGCUUNUCUGCGGUAACGUCAAAACACCAACGUAUUAAUGUUAAUGCCCUUCCUCCCAACUUAAAGUGCUUUACAAUCCGAAGACCUUCUUCACACACGCGGCAUGGCUGGAUCAGGCUUUCGCCCAUUGUCCAAUAUUCCCCACUGCUGCCUCCCGUAGGGA
rnacentral:rRNA from 1 species